rnacentral:rRNA from 1 species
GAUGAACGCUGGCGGCGUGCCUAAUACAUGCAAGUCGAGCGAACAGACGAGGAGCUUGCUCCUCUGACGUUAGCGGCGGACGGGUGAGUAACACGUGGAUAACCUACCUAUAAUACUGGGAUAACUUCGGGAAACCGUAGCUAAUACCGGGUAAUAUAUUGAACCGCAUGGUUCAAUAGUGAAAGACGGUUUUGCUGUCACUUAUAGAUGGAUCCGCGCCGCAUUAGCUAGUUGGUAAGGUAACGGCUUACCAAGGCAACGAUGCGUAGCCGACCUGAGAGGGUGAUCGGCCACACUGGAACUGAGACACGGUCCAGACUCCUACGGGAGGCAGCAGUAGGGAAUCUUCCGCAAUGGGCGAAAGCCUGACGGAGCAACGCCGCGUGAGUGAUGAAGGUCUUCGGAUCGUAAAACUCUGUUAUUAGGGAAGAACAAAUGUGUAAGUAACUAUGCACGUCUUGACGGUACCUAAUCAGAAAGCCACGGCUAACUACGUG